GUACUUGCUUAGCACAUAUACUAAAAUUGGAGUUAUACAGAGAUUAACAUGGCUCUUGCUGAAGGAUAACAUAUAUGAUCUUGAAGCAUUCCAUAUUGUU
rnacentral:snRNA from 1 species